UACGGGGGGUGCAAGCGUUAUCCGGAUUCACUGGGUUUAAAGGGUGCGUAGGUGGGUUGGUAAGUCAGUGGUGAAAUCCCCGAGCUUAACUUGGGAACUGCCAUUGAUACUAUCAGUCUUGAAUAUUGUGGAGGUUAGCGGAAUAUGUCAUGUAGCGGUGAAAUGCUUAGAUAUGACAUAGAACACCAAUUGCGAAGGCAGCUGGCUACGCAUAUAUUGACACUGAGGCACGAAAGCGUGGGGAUCAAACAGG
rnacentral:rRNA from 1 species